CUGUGUGUCCCUGCUGCGAUGGAUGCCAGAUAGAGCCUGCUUGCCUAGGAUGGGGACAGAUGCCAUUGGAAACAGCCCUCAGUGAGGCCAGAAAUCACUAGAAAUCUCAUUUAAACUUUCCCUCCUCGUUCUCAAGCAAAUUUACAACAGCGGCCAGUACUUUUGCAAGAUCGCUGGAGAGAAUUCAUCAUCAGAAUAGAGAUUGCAAGACCAUCACGAUGACUUCACGUCAGUGCCAGCAUAUGCAGCCGUGGAAUACAGUGAGCGCUCUCUGCGGCUGACAGCAAUAGCGGUGAUCUAAUUUACCCGGCGACUGGAAGAAACUCUUUGUACAGGCUCUGGGUCCCUUUGGAUUAGUGACUUCAAGGUCAACUGGAGGAGAAAGGAAGCAGGGCUGAGGGUCACCCUCUCCUGUCUCAUUUGCAUGCUCUUGAAUAUAUGAUUUUAAGAAACAUGCGUUUUUGAUCUGCAAUGUAAAAAUUCCUCAAUGAUUUUUUGUACAGAUGUGCAGAAUACAGGAAUGAAAUAAAAUAUUGAGAAUUUGUGGCCUCAC
rnacentral:lncRNA from 1 species